AAGUCGUAACAAGGUUUCCGUAGGUGAACCUGCGGAAGGAUCAUUACCGAUUUUAGCGGACCUGAUCUUUGAUCAUGGUCUCGCGAAAACUUGUAUUUAAAACCCCACUCUUAUAAAUUGAAUCAUUUUAUUAUGUAUAUAAUAAAUAAAGAUCACUUUCAACAACGGAUCUCUUGGCUCUC
rnacentral:misc_RNA from 1 species